rnacentral:tRNA from 1 species
GGGCUUGUAGCUCAGUGGAAUAGAGCACAUGGCUACGAACCAUGGUGUCAGGGGUUCGAGUCCCUUCUUGCCCG